CCUACGGGACGCAGCAGUAGGGAAUCUUCCACAAUGGACGAAAGUCUGAUGGAGCAACGCCGCGUGAGUGAAGAAGGGUUUCGGCUCGUAAAGCUCUGUUGGGAGUGAAGAAAGAUAGAGGGAGUAACUGGCCUUUAUUUGACGGUAAUUACUUAGAAAGUCACGGCUAACUACGUGCCAGCAGCCGCGGUAAUAAGUAGGUGGCAAGCGUUGUCCGGAUUUAUUGGGCGUAAAGAGAGUGCAGGCGGGUGAAUAAAGAUGAUGUG
rnacentral:rRNA from 1 species